UUGUGAUAAGUCGUAACAAGGUUUCCGUAGUGAACCUGCGGAAGGAUCAUAAC
rnacentral:rRNA from 1 species